AAAAAAGCAGGGACCUAUUGCCUUUUGUGGAUAGGUCUCUCGUAAACUUCAGGGAAAUAAACUUCAUUGUUCUUGGGUGAACCUCUGGAGUUUUUUCUAUGAUGGGGAGGUUCAAUAAACAAUGUUACAUUU